rnacentral:rRNA from 1 species
AGCGAACGCUGGCGGCAGGCUUAACACAUGCAAGUCGAGCGGGCAUCUUCGGAUGUCAGCGGCAGACGGGUGAGUAACACGUGGGAACGUACCCUUCGGUUCGGAACAACUCUGGGAAACUGGAGCUAAUACCGGAUACGCCCUUAUGGGGAAAGGUUUACUGCCGAAGGAUCGGCCCGCGUCUGAUUAGCUAGUUGGUGGGGUAACGGCCUACCAAGGCGACGAUCAGUAGCUGGUCUGAGAGGAUGAUCAGCCACACUGGGACUGAGACACGGCCCAGACUCCUACGGGAAGCAGCAGUGGGGAAUAUUGGACAAUGGGCGCAAGCCUGAUCCAGCCAUGCCGCAUGAGUGAUGAAGGCCUUAGGGUUGUAAAGCUCUUUUGUCCGGGACGAUAAUGACGGUACCGGAAGAAUAAGCCCCGGCUAAUUUCGUG